rnacentral:misc_RNA from 1 species
GUGGUCUGAAAUGCAUCAAGAAGCUUAGCUUGCAAAGCAAUCGUUUAACAUCUAUGAAAGGAUUUGAGGAAUGCGUUGCUUUAGAAGAACUUUAUUUGAGUCAUAAUGGUAUCACCAAAAUGGAAGGCCUAUCAACCUUGGUCAACCUCAGUGUAUUGGAUGUAUCAUCUAACAAGCUAACUUCAAUUGAUGACAUUCAGAACCUGACCCGGUUAGAAGAUCUAUGGCUUAAUGACAACCAAAUAGAAUCACUUGAACGCAUUGCUGAGGCCAUUGCUGGUUCCAGACAGAAAUUAACCACAAUCUACUUUGAAAAUAAUCCAUGUGCAAGAUCUCCAAACUAUGCUGUCACUCUCAGACAGAUUUUUCCUAACAUUCAGCAAAUUGAUUCCAAUGUAUUUGCUUAGAAGUUCAUUGUUCCAAGUUUCUUUUGUCAGGACAGUAGUAUCCAGGAAGUUGAAACUCUCCACUAGUGAUCAAAUUGUGGUAUGAGACUGUAAGUCCACCAUUGAUACAAAAAGCUAUCUAUUGGCUUCAACUGGGGAUGCAAGUUGCAAGUUUUCAACAGCCCUAAGGAAUUAAUUUGAAUUGUGCUGCUGUUCUGCAAUGCAUUUAUGAACUACAAUUUUUCAACUCUCCUACAUCUAUCGAUCUUCAACCA